rnacentral:rRNA from 1 species
UACGGGGGGAGCAAGCGUUGUUCGGAUUUACUGGGCGUAAAGGGCGCGUAGGCGGCCAGCACAAGUCAGUUGUGAAAUCUCCGAGCUUAACUCGGAACGGUCAACUGAUACUGUGCGGCUAGAGUGCGGAAGGGGCAACUGGAAUUCUCGGUGUAGCGGUGAAAUGCGUAGAUAUCGAGAGGAACACCUGCGGCGAAGGCGGGUUGCUGGGCCGACACUGACGCUGAAGUGCGAAAGCUAGGGGAGCGAACGGG